AAGAGACAGCAGUCGCCGCGGUAAUACGUAGGUGGCAAGCGUUGUCCGGAAUUAUUGGGCGUAAAGGGCUCGCAGGCGGUUUCUUAAGUCUGAUGUGAAAGCCCCCGGCUCAACCGAGGAGGGUCAUUGGAAACUGGGAAACUUGAGUGCAGAAGAGGAGAGUGGAAUUCCACGUGUAGCGGUGAGAUGCGUAGAGAUGUGGAGGAACACCAGUGGCGAAGGCGACUCUCUGGUCUGUAACUGACGCUGAGGAGCGAAAGCGUGGGGAGCGAACAGGAUUAGAUACCCCCGUAGUCCCUGUCUCUUAUAC
rnacentral:rRNA from 1 species